rnacentral:rRNA from 1 species
UACGUAGGGGGCAAGCGUUAUCCGGAAUUACUUGGGCGUAAAGGGUGAGUAGGCGGCCAUACAAGUCAUAUGUGAAAGCCCGGGUCUUAAGCCCGGGACUGCAUAAGAAACUGUGAGGCUGGAGUACAGGAGAGGUAAGCGGAAUUCCUAGUGUAGCGGUGAAAUGCGUAGAUAUUAGGAAGAACACCAGUGGCGAAGGCGGCUUACUGGACUGAAACUGACGCUGAGUCACGAAAGCGUGGGGAGCAAACAGG